GAUGAACGCUGGCGGCGUGCCUAAUACAUGCAAGUCGAGCGAACAGACGAGGAGCUUGCUCCUCUGACGUUAGCGGCGGACGGGUGAGUAACACGUGGAUAACCUACCUAUAAGACUGGGAUAACUUCGGGAAACCGGAGCUAAUACCGGAUAAUAUAUUGAACCGCAUGGUUCAAUAGUGAAAGACGGUUUUGCUGUCACUUAUAGAUGGAUCCGCGCCGCAUUAGCUAGUUGGUAAGGUAACGGCUUACCAAGGCAACGAUGCGUAGCCGACCUGAGAGGUGGACCGCCCAAACGGAAACGGGAAACGGGCCCGACUCCCAAGGGGAGGAAGCGGAGGGGAAUCUGCGGCAUGGGGGGAAGGCUGGCCGGAGAAAGGCGGGUGAGUGAAUAAGGUUCUCGGAUCGUUAAACUCUUUUUUUAGGGAAAAAAAAAAUGGGAAGGUACUAAUGAAGGUUUGAAGGGAACCAAACCAGAAAGCAACGGUAAACUCGUU
rnacentral:rRNA from 1 species